rnacentral:lncRNA from 1 species
CACAGAUGCGGCUCAGAUCCGGUAUUGCUACACCUGUGGAAGAAAAAAAAAAAAAAAAAAAACUCAACCCAACCUAUAGUCUUGAAUCUGGAUCCAACUGUCAAUUUGUAGAAAUUACAAGAGCAUAGAAGAAUACACUGAACUACCACACCAUGACUAUGCAGUCAGCAAAAUCCAGACUGUGUGGACCUCUAGGUGAAAUGCCCUUGUUCUUCAGCAGAUAUGUUGUGACAAAAAGAAAGGAGCGGAAACUGAAACGUGUGCAUUGAAAGGGGUUUAAAAGACAUGCCAGUAUCUAUCUAUCUAUAUAUAGAUAGAUAUAGAUAUACAGCUAAAUUACAUUGUUUCAGGAUGUUUUCUUGGGCCAUUAAAAACUUCAGUGAUUCCUUUUUUUAAAAAUUAUUAUUAUUUUUGUCUUUUUAGGGCUGCACUUGCAGCAUAUGGAAAUUCCCAGGCUUGGGGUUGAAUUGGAGCUGCAGCCGUGACCUACACCACAGCUCAUGGCAAUGCUGGAUCCUUAAUCCACUGAGCAAGGCCAGGGAUCAAACCCACAUCCUCUUGGAUACUAGUUGGAUUGUUACCGCUGAGCCACAUGGGAACUCCUUAAAUGAUUCUUAUAACUUAGGAUAGUGGUUACAUUUAGAGGGAGGAAGUGGGCAGGACACAGAGAGCCUAUGGGGGCUUCUGAGGUGGCUGCCAGAGCUCCAGUUAUUGUUCCAAUUAGCAGUUACAAGGAGCUGGACCUCAUCAAAAUCCACUAAACGGUACCUCUGUGUGAUUUCCCUUUUUCCUUUUUUUGCUUUUUAACGCAUGCGGCAUGCGGAAUUUCCUGGGCCAGUGACUGAACCCAUGUUGCAACCUGCACCACAGCUGUGGCGACACCAGAUCCUUAACCUGCUACGCCACACUUCCUAGCAAGUCAAAAUUUUAAAGAUAGCUAUUAUGGAGGUUUCUGCCAAUAACUUAGAAAAGUUAGAUAAAAUUAACCCAUUUCUAGAAAUUUGUAUUCAGAAAUUCUGAUACAAAUUCUUCUAACGUUUAAAGAAAUCGGGUCUAUAAUUUACAAUCUUUCAUUAAAGAAAACUCCAAGUUAUUUCAUAAACUAAUUCUAAUCAUAUGAGGAAUAAUACUUUACCCAAUCCUUCCAAAGAAUAGUAAGAAAUGGAUUGCUCCUUAACCCAUUUUCUAUGGCCUUUCUUCUUCCAAGGUAAGAAAAUCCUAACUGAAGGAGUGUAUUACAGAACAUUUCUUUCAACACACAUUUUCUUUGUCGUCUGCAUGUGGUCAUAGGCCUUUUCCUAUGUGUGAUCCAUUUAGCAGACUUCAUCAUCCAGUUUUUUGUUUGUUUGUUUUCUGUCUUUUUAGGGUUGCACCUGUGGCAUAUGGAGGUUCCCAGGCUAGGGGUCUAAUCAGAGCUGUAGCCAACGGCCUACACCACGGCCACAGCAACGUGGGAUCCGAGCCGCGUCUGCAACCUACACCACAGCUCACGGCAACGCCGGAUCCUUCACCCACUGAGCAAACCCACAACCCCGUGGUUCCUAGUCAGAUUCGUUAACCACUGAGCCAUGACGGCAACUCCCACAGUUGUUUCUUUCCACAUGUACAUUCCCUUCCUCUCAAGUCAGCCCAGACUGCAUGAGACUGUAUGUGACUGUUUCUGCGCUCAUUUCUACAACAGGCCAGCUAUUUGCUGAGUCUCUAAUGUCCUACAUGAUACCUAUUUGGGGAAGGGAUGUACAGACUAAAGUUCCCAAACUGCCUGUCAUGAAGACUCCAGUUCUUUGUUCUUUCUUUUUAGGGCUGCACCUGUGGCCUAUGGAAGUUCCCAGGUUAGGGGUUGAAUUGGAGCUGCAGCUGCCAGCCUAUGUCGCAGCCAGAGCAAAUAGAGACGAUAGGAUUUUUCAUCCUUAGAUCUUUUUAAAAAAUGUUAUGGCCACACCAUAUAGAAGUUCCCCGGCCAGGGAUCAAAACCUGUGUUACAGCUGCAGCCACACUGGAUCCUUUAACCCACUGCACUGGGCCGGGGAUGGAACUUGCGCCCCUGCAGAGACCCCAGCGGCUUCAGUCAGAUGCUUAACCCACUGAGCCACAGCAGGAACUUCUGAGACACUGAUUCUUUUUCAUCCCACCCUAUUAACUGCUACCUGCUUUUAAAGAAAUAGCAGAGUCUGGUUCUUGAAGAUGAAUUCCUGGCCCUUGGCACCUUCCAUUUCUGAGCAUCAGUCUGGCACUCUGGCCAUCUCAUCUCUUCAGCCUGUCCACUGAACUCUUCCACUGGCCCGUGUCAGGAGAAUUUCAUGAAGGUCUUAAGCCAUAAAUCUCCUGGAGGGAUGUUUCUGUUGAUCAGGAGGCCAAAAUGUUUUCAGAGAGAUGUGCUUGAGGCUUGAACGCAAAGGAAAAGGCAAAAAUGAGAGGGUGGAUUUGGUAGACUAGCAUAGCCAGGACCUGGGUGGAAGCAAGAGGAGAGGGUUCUCCAAAACCAAGCUGUGACAGACUUUACAAGACACCCCCAGAGCUGUGGGAGUUUGCCCCCACCCCUUGCCGUGACGCUACCAAAGGGUAUAGGAGAAUCUGGUUGGUUGGUGAUGGCUGCUCCAAUGAUGACUCUAUAGUGUCUGGUUAGGAGCAUUCGUAAUAGUGCUAAGGGAACUACUGUCAUCUCUUCUCCUGAGGUUGAAAGGGAACCGAGCUCCUGAGUGAUUUCAAAGAGACACCCUAUCCAUAGGUAGGGAGGGUGAGUGUUCAGUUUGUGGAUGCCAGACCCUUUCCUGGGUUUGAGGCUGCAACAGUCCACAGUCCACCUGCUGAAGUAUGGAUCAUAGAUGGACCCCCGUUACUGCUUUGAUAUUGAAGGUUUCUGUUCCACUUGAAGUGGGUGCUAAACCUAAGAAGUGGUACUUUCCUCUUCCUCCUCUUCCAAGUCGAAGAGGUGAAGACAGCAUCCUUGAGCAAUUGGGAAAGCCUUUAGUGAUGACACCUGGUUGUGAGUCAAGACUAGUCCUCGAGUUUGGUUAAACAAGCCUGCCAUGGUGCAGUUUGUGAUCCUUUUGGGGUUUUUCUGUCAAAAAAGCCUUGAAGGGACUGGUGCCACCAGAGUCUGUGGUCCCUCGCUCGAUGGUACAGAGAAAGAAAGGCAAGGCCAUGGUGGUGCCAUGUAGUUCACCCUUUCUUUAUGGUCCUCCAGAACUUGCAUCUUGUGCUCCCAUUCUUCAGCACGACUAAGGCAUCAGAAGAAUUGACUCUAAGAGAGCACAGACCAUGUUUCAGAGAUAUUUGGUCACAAGGAGGAAGAGACAGAGAGGGAAGUAUGAAGGGGGAUGGUUGGCUUUGUAAUGAGAGACACUUGCGCAAGUUGAAAGCUGCUAUGAAAAACCCAGCAUCGAAGGUCAAGACUGCAGAGAGCUGGGAUCAUCAGUAGAGAAUGCGAGUCCCAAGGAAAGGGAGUAGGGGCGAUCCAGAGAGCCUGGUAGAAGUGGCCAUCACCAAGAGGCAGGACAGCCACUCCUCUCACAGAACGGAUUUUGGAGAGGAUGGCAGAGUGUGGCACAUACGGAUCUGGCGGUGGGAAGUUGAAGACAUCAUGUUUGCUGGCUUCCUUUUUUCCCCGGGAUCACGAUGGAGGGAGUGAGAGGCUGGAGAGAGGGUGGAGGCAGAACAUCAUGGGUUUGAGACAAAUGAAAAUUGGAAAAAGUUAUAGUGAAGAGACGAGCAAGGGAGUUUGACCUGAGAAAAACAGGAUCACCAGGCAUUCAUCGAUGAGGCACUACGUGAAGUUGGUGACCAUGAAUUUAGAAGUGGGUAGCAAUCUGAUUAUCUGGGAGACUUUAUAUAAGAAACGUCAUGUAAUGAUUAGAGUGCACAGGCUUUUGAACCAGAGAAACCUGGUCUGUGUGACUUCGUAUGUGUUACUGUCUCUGAGCUCAUCUGUACAAUGAGAAGAAUAGUAAUCCUUUUCUCACAGCAUUGUUGGGAGAAGUAAAUGAAUUAGUGUGUGAGAAGCACUUCCGGCAGAGCUGGUGUGCAGUAAGUCAUUCACAGGUGUUAGUUUCAGGUCUCUAUUUUCUCUACAUGCUCAACUGGCUGAGGGCGGGCAGAGGGAUAGCAGAAUGAUCCAGGGUUAGGAUUUUGCCUGAUUGGUGCAUAAAAGGAAAGAAGGCUGCUGUGUAACACAGGGAACUCUACCCAAUACUCUGAUCAUGUAUAUGGGAAAAAAAUCAGAAAAAGAAUGGAUGUGUGUAUAUGUAUAACUGAAUCAUUUUGUUGUACAGCAGAAAUUAUCACUACAUUGUAAGUCAACAAUACGUCAAUAAAACUUUUUUAAAAAGGAACGAAGGCAAAGGAGUUUAGGAUAAUAACAAAUUAAAGAUGUGAUGAGGAGUUCCCAUCGUGGCUCAGUGGUUAAUGAAUCUGACUAAGAACCAUGAGGUUGCGGGUAUGAUCCUUGGCCUCACUCAGUGGGUUAAGGAUCCGGUGUUUCCAUGAGCUGUGGUGUAGGUCGCAGAUGUGGCUCAGAUCUGAGUUGCUGUGGCUCUGGCGUAGGCCGUUGGCUACAGCUCCUAUUAGGCCCCUAGCCUGGGAACCUACAUAUGUCUUGGGUGCGGCCCUAGAAAAGACCAAAAAAAAAAAA